GUACCCCACGACGCGACUGUCGUAACCUGGCAUCCGCAACCACUCUAAUAUUCUACAGCCUGUCGAUGCACCGCUGUCCUGCUCCUCGUUCCUUACCUACUUUUUCAGCGUAAUAAUCAAAUUUUUAGUGUGUGGACAGUGUCGGCAUAGUAAUCUGUUCUGCGCUUUGUUCCUGCGACGCAAAGUGUGCGAGAUGCAGAAAUUUACCUUCAGUACUCAGGUGCCAGUUUUAUAGGAAACAACUCGGUUGUCGUUCGAUUACCUGUAAACAGCUGACGUGUGAUUGGACUAGUUUCGUGAACAGAUCUCCUGGCUGCACCGUGUGUUUCGUUGAGUGUGCUGUGACAUAAGAAAUUGUGCAUGAUCUGUCUCCCAGCAACAGUGAAGUUCUGAGCUGCGUAGGUUUUGCUAGCAUAUGUUAGCACAGGAAGAUUUAUGAGAGUGAGACACAGCGGGACUGUAGUGUUUCCAGAGGUUUAUCAGCGUAGCAUCUCGCACAUUGGGCAUAGGUCGUUUCUUUAGGGACUUUUAGUCACAAUAUGGAACUUAUUUUAAGACAACUGCGUUUAGUUGGUCCUGUAACGCGCUGAGUGCAGUGUUUCAACAGAAAUGGCACGAGAGUGGAUAGGUGUGAAACGUCACCUGUGGUAGUUUGUGGUUACGGAGAGCAAAUAACAUAGCAGUCAGUGGACCGGACAUACUGUAAUGGCGCCAGGCGAUAUCAUCAGCAUCGACUGCUGUCGCUUCUGGGGCAGCAAGCGCCACAGGAGAGACUUAGCCGGGCGUCAGCAUGCGAGGGGCGGCGGCAGUGGCGCCCCCGCACAGCACAUGCAGAGCCCGCCCACGCCCACGGCCGCGCAGGCCGCGCGGCAGCAGUCUCCCGGCGCCGGCGGCACCUUCCGCGUCACGCUCUCCAUGAAGAAGGAGCCCGACGGCGGGCCCGUCUUCUGCAAGAUGGAGCAGACGCAGCGCUUCAAGCAGCUCAAGACCGUCAAGCUGCACACCGACACCGUCUACCGCAUCGACGUCAGCUUCAAGCCGCCGCGCGCCCUCCAGAGCCUGGUGAUCCAGGGCCAGGAGAUGGAGCCUUGCGAGCGAGCGCGGGACAGCACGGCGUGCGCCUACUCCUCCUACUACAACACGGAGGGCCUGAGCCCCAGCAAGAAGGGCACCCGCGAGGACCUCACCAUCAUCAUGAAGGUGGAUGGCUCUGGUGAACUCUCAACAUGCCUGCAGAUAAAACUGUACAAAGCCCAUGACAUACAGCACUGUGAAUGGGGCAGCCGCCUACACUGUAUAGAACUGGACUGCACUUCAACUGAAGGUCCUGAGGGAGUGCGUGUCAACCGUGAGACGUACAGGCAAGUGUCCACAGAUUCAAGCACCUGCCUGAGCAACGUGACGACUGGAUACAGAUCAACUGCCCACUUUUAACAAGGAUCAAGACAGGAAUUUGGAUGGUUCUCUAACCCAGGUCAUGACCAUCAUUUGCCCGCAGAAAUAAAUCAGCACAGAAAACAUGACUGAGGAUAUUUUUACCUGGAUUUAAAGGAAACUGGGUCUUGACAGUUAACUUCAUUGCCCACAAGAAGUUAUCAAUGUGGCUAUUCAAAACAUUAUCAAAAACAAACCCCACAAUCUUGAACUCAUUGGUAAAUGACUCUGCUUUAUAAAAAUGAAGAGACAAAUUAAUAUGAUAACAUCUAUGCAAAAAUAUGGUAUUUUAUUUGAAAUACUUAUUCAAAUAGCAUCCACUGACAAAGCAUGCCAUCCAUAUGGACAGUGAAAUGUGAUGAAUAAUGAAUCUGAGCUGUAUAUGUGGCAAAAAUGAUACCAAACAGAAAUGUCUCUACUAGGGAGACAAAUAUAUAAAAAGCACAAGUUCUUAAAAUGAAAUUUCAGUCAUUAAACAGUCUGAAUUACCUCAUAUUGAGGUAAUUUUCAGCAGCCAUGUCAAUUUUACCUGCAUUUUUAUAAAUGCUUUCAGUCUGCUUAAGGUGCCUAAUUUGCAAAUGGAAAUUAAUAAACUAUACCAUAUUCUUAAUUUGUAUCUCUUAACGUAUCUUAUUGUAAAAUAUUUACCUGCCCACGCAAAGAUAAAUGCUCUUGUCAUUCUGAAGAUUCAGCAUUUCACAAGAAAGUAAAAGUUCUUUUUUACUAUUGAGUAAUAAACUGAAUAAAAAUAUUUUCAGAUGGUGUCAGAAAUUCUAUUAUUCGGUCUCUAUAUAAAGGAAUAAUAUAGGUAUCUCCCUUUUUUCUUGUUUAGUUUAAUUGAUUGCAGUGCUCUAGAAUUUCUUGUAUUUAUAUCUCUAUCCUGUAAUCUCAGUAAACUACAUUGGAUUCUCAAUAAACUGCAUUAUAUCUUCCACUUUUCCUUAUUUUCAUUAUCUGUGGUUCUUUCUAUUAUCAGUCUAGAUCAGCAUAAUUUGAGACCUAAAAUGAAAUGGAUUUUGGCCUAAAGUUUCUCUCGUGCAUGAAUCAUCAGCAUAUGAAUGCUUUUGGUUUGAACUCCUGUAUGUCACAUCAUCACUGAAUGCUAAAUAAAGAUGUUAUCUCAUAAGAGAAAACAAUCAGCUCUAUUAGUGCCUACUCUUGAAAACAAAUGCAGGAUCUUGCAGUUCAUCAAAUCACCCAGAGCAAUGAUUUGUUUGUCAACUCCUUGCAGUGUUAACAAAUCAUAUCAACCAAACCCUAUUCAGUAAGACUGAUUUGGGAUUAGGCAGCCUGAAACCAAUAGUCCAUCUCUCUUUAUAUCUAUUUCUGCAUUAUUAUCAAAAAAACAUUACUCAUUAAAAUGUGACAGGAGCUGAAAUUUCAUCAGAUGAACAUAAACUUUGCCCAUGAAACAUAUCAAUGUAAUUAAUGUAUCAGGAAAGAUCAGGUAAUUUUUUUCUCCUUUUUGUAGGGUCAUCAUCAUCAUCAUCAUCAUCAUCAUUAUUAUUGCUUUGCUUUGCAUUUUACUUACAUCACAUAAACAAUCUGCCUUAUUCUGCUUACAAAUGGGAACAACUUUCUGCCUUUCAACUUGAAAUGAGUAAUUCAAAUGGCAAUAUAAAGUAGGUAUUUAGUGUACCGUUUUAACCAGCUGAUAAAUGUAGCUUGCAUUGCAAUGUUACAUCUUAAACUAAACCAUUUAUACAAGGCAGUUAAUAACAUUUAUAAUACAAUGCUAUAUGGUUAUUUUUGUCUAAGAUUGCAGGAGAGUAGUGCUGUUGUAGAAAUGUACUAAAAAUAUUACUUAGACACUGAAUAUUAAAAUAUUAGGUAUAUUUUUAAAUAAAAUUAUUUUCAAAGUUAUACUAAUUCAAAGCUAAAAUAAUACAUUUAGAAGUAUAUACAUUUAGUGGUUUUGCAAAUUGUAUGAAUGACUUUGACACCAAAAGUCAAUAGCUCAUUGUAAAAAAAUUAUAUUAUAUAUUAAUUUUAUGAGAUGCUCAACUUAAUAUGUAGUCUUUAAAGAAUAUACUUAGUGUUACUACUAGUGGUAAUGUGACUCUUUCUCAAGUAAGAGAAAGAAAAUGGCUUGUUUGUCUGCUCUGGAUAUGAAGCAGCAAUGAUAUCACAACAUGUUUGGACUUCUUCACUUAUGAGAAAAUGUACUGAACUAAAAAAGGCAACAAUGUCUGAAUCAAAGCAUACAUAGCACAGUUGUUUGCUAUUUGCUGAAAGUCCUUUUGAAAUUUAUUUUUGUCCAUUUGGAUGAAAACGCAAUAAACAAUUUCUGCCUCAUCACCAUGGUAUCCAGUCUAGAAGCUGUAUUUUAUGUGAUAUAUCCAGAAAUUCUGUUUUUAUUGUUACUGUUAUUAUUUUAUUAUUAACAUUAUUUCAGUUCUUGCUGUACACAUGGAGACAACUGGCUUAUAUGAAGUACUGUCUUUUUGAUUACUCAUGAGAGCACUAGUCGACCAUACGGUUUUUUGUGAAUCAAUUAAUAAUACAAUAAAUUUUAAAAAAUCUGUUUAAUGUUAAUGGUUCUGUUAUAAUUUUUAAAUGAAUGAGCAAUGAGCAGAACUUUCCAGAUGCAUUACCUAUGGCUAGUAUUUUUCCUGCUGCAUGUACUGUUAUAACCUUGUUGAAUACAAUUGCAUAAAUAAAAUACAGACUUUCUUUUGUCAAACAUAAAA
rnacentral:misc_RNA from 1 species